AAACUGGGCUCAGUGGUCUGAUCAGGGUUUAGAUGGAGGGCCUGAGUCAAGGAACUCCAGAAUCCCACUUUUUGAAUCUGUGUGAGACUGGAUUACACUGAGAGCAAACAGGUCAUACCUGUCUGUGCUGUGAGAAAGUUCGUAGACUUGGAGUUGGCCACCUUGGCUAGACAGAACAAAAAGAACCAUCAGAGCUUACACCAUUUACUGCAUUUAGAGAUGGGUGAACCCAACAGGAACAUGGGGUUGCAGGCUACUGGGAGUGUGAUGGUUUACAGGGAGUGGCACCAUUAGGAAGUGUUGUCACUGUGGGUGUGGGCUUAUGACCCUCACCUUCGCUGCUUAGAAGGAAGUCUUCCACUAGCAGCCUUCAGAUGAAGAUGUAGAACUCUCAGCUCCUCCUGCUCCAUGUCUGCUGGAUGCUGCCCUGCUCCCACCUUGAGGACGAUGGACUGAACCUCUGAACCUGUAGGCCAGCCCCAAUUACAUGCUGUUCUUGUAAGACUUGCCUUGGUCAUGGUGUCUGUUCACAGCAGUAAAACCUUAAGACAGGGAGGGAAUUGGUUGGGGUGUCUUAAAAAUGAGGCUUCAAAGAUUUUGCAGAAAGUGGGAUUCACCUUUUAGUUAGCCCACAGGUUGCUAAAGGAAUUUUUAAAAAAUGAACACUCAGGUCCUUGAGGUUUAAAAAUCUUAGCACCAUGGAGAAGUGUCUUGCUCUAGCAUGGAAGCCGCUUGACUGUUCUAACGGUGUUAGUGAGUCUCGGUCUUGUAGUUAAGAGCCCUGAAGGCCUUAAGGAGAUACUGAGCUGUCUCCUUAGUUCUGGAAACCUGUCUUGGUUGAUAAAAAGCUCACCUUCUCUGGAGGAAAGUUCUCAUCUGCACCCAGAGGGAGCUGAACCCUUGGGCACUUGAACAGUGAAGAGGCAGAUGUCUGGUAUCAGCUUUGUCUUCCUCCUAGCCAGCCUUACAGAGGCCCGGGACUCUGCUGAAUGGCCGAAAUGAACCAAAUGGUUGGGGAGAAAUUACCCUUGAAAUGGAUACUCCUUAGUAAACUGGCCCUUGGGGGGAAGGAUGAACAUGGCUGUCCCAUGGCUCCUGGCAUGGGGAGAUCUGUCCUGUGGGAAAAGCUAAGUCACUCCGAGGCUGCAGGGAAGUGAAGGGAACUCAGCCUUGCAUUUUGCUGCUGUGCAGAGGGUUUCAGCUCAUUAUGCAAUAGCUGAUUUUGGAGUGGACUUCCUGAGAUCCCAGUGACUAAAUGACUACGCCUAAGUAAUUUAAGCAUAAAUUGUUGACAAUAAAGAGCUUAAAAGCAUAGGCAUCUGUGAAGUUUUGUCAUGGAACAUUACUCUCCUGAGGUGUUGAGUAGUGGGUGGAUACUUUUGAGAAAUUAUGUGCCACUUUGAGGUAAAAAUAUGGAAACCUGUUCCUUAAUCAUCCUGAUUUUACUAUGGUAGAGAGAGUUAGAAGAGGUGGUUUGGACUAGGGUUGUCUCAACUUUAAUGAUUGGAAAAGGCUGUAUGUAAAAUUAAUUAUUCUGAAAAACAAAAACAGCUGUUCUCAGCUCUCACUGAGAAUGUCUAAAAUGCCCUGACUACUCAGAAGUCUGAUGUAAUGCGCUCACUCAGCAGACUUUUGACCAGUCUCCUGUCUCCCAGUGUUUGGGGCAGAGAUGCCCUGGCUGCCAAGGUGGGUGUGGCCCCCUCCUUGUGGUGUCACAGCACAGCAUCAAGAAUUAGCCCCUGGCUAAGUUCCACCAAGGAUAUGAGGGCUGUCCUCACUGUGCUUCUUUUGCAGUGAUGAAUGGUGUGUUGUAUUUGCUUUCCGAGUUUCAUGUUUGGUAGGAGGCUGAUGGAUCUAUGAGUUCAAGGGCAGUCUAGUCUACAAAGCAAGUUCCAGCACAGCCAGAGCUAUAGGGACUCUGCCUUAAAACAAACAAACCUAAUGGGGAGCAUACUGGUUUUAUGUGGUACAAGGAAGCCAGGGGUAUUUUUGACACCAAAAGUUUUGUACUUAGGAAACAUGUUAAGGGGCCUACACAACAGAAUGGCAAAUCCAAACCACUCACUGCCUAGAUUUUACUGGCUUUAACUUGUAAACUGAAAAUACCAGGUGUGCUUUAGCUCUAUGGUGACCCUUCCAAAGUCAGAAGCUGGCUCCUAUUGGAGACCCCCUCCCCCCCACCCAACUUGGUCUGGUCUAGUAAGGCUAGUGAAGACCAAGUUUGUUUUUCUGACAUUUGGAAAAGCUGGCUGUGUUUGCGCGUGCAAGUAUGUAUAGGCCAGUCGUUGGCACCAGGGGUCUUAACUGUUGUCUUGUGUAUGAAAUGGGGUGCCAUGGCCUGCACAUGGAAGUCAGAGUGUCCAUGGGUAUUGGUUCUCGCUUCACCAGGGUUGCAGGGAUUAAACUACAGUUGUCAGGAUUGAGAGGAUGGCAUUACCUGCUUGUCCAAAAACUUGCUUUUUGAGACAGGGUCUAUCAUGUGGACCAGGCUGGCCUUGAACUUACAGAGCUCUACCUGCCUCUGCCUGAGUGCUUUCCUCCUUAUUAUUUUGGGGAUAGGGUCUCUCAUAAAACCUGGAGCUCACCGACUUGGCUACACUGACUGGCUCUUGAGCUCCAGGGACCUGUCCGAUCCUCUUGUGUGUCUGGUGUGCCCACUGAUGUGCAGUGGCUGCUGGCUUUCCCAUGGAUGCUGGGGAUCUGAACCAGGGCUCCUCAGCUUACACACAGGCAAGCGGUUACCAGCUGGAAUGCUGAGCUUUCUCCCUCAAGCUGUUUGGCUUUGGUAGCUUGCUUUAUGAGAUGUCUAAACAAAUUCUGUAAGGCUGGUCCAAAUCUAAUGGACAACAGCAGCCUUUAAAAUCUUUUUUCUAUGUUAAAGUUUUGUGUUACGCUUUGCUCUAGGCCCUCGAAUCCUCCUGGGUAUGAAGUUAAACAGGCUGGGCUGCCAAGUGAGCUAGGAAUUGAACCUGGGUUCUCUGGAGGGACAGCCAGUGCUCUUAACCCUGAGCCACUUCUCCAGUCCACACAGCAGCCCUUUUAAUGCAUAUAUAUGUAUGCCUGAACUGGAGAAACAAAACCAGCAUUUGAAUAGAAUUCUGCCUAGUACCGUAGCAUAGGCUUUUAACCCCAGGACUCAGGUGGCUAAGGCAGGCAGUUGGCUAAGAGUUCUAAGCCAGGUAGUUCCAGUCAGGGCUACUGAUAAUUCAGUGUGAAGUGUGUAUCACCAUGUAAGGCCUGAAUAGCUUCCUUAUGUUUAAAGUUUCCAUCAUUAGAAGUUCCGCACCAUGGUACCCUUCGUUGGAGCAAAGUGAAAUGAAUUCGAGCAAGAACCAGUAAGGCAAGUACUCUGAAAUGCUGAGAUGAGGCUGCUUGGUAUACACACCCGUAAUCCCCACCUUGAGUCCAAGGCGGGGCUGAAGUAAUUGACAAGAUCAUUUCUCAAGAGUAAACUUGCCAAAAUGAGUUAUUGCCAACGUGUAUCCUAUCAAGCUCCGAAUCCCGAGACUACUACCAAAACUAACAGUGGUCUAUUCUUAUACAACUCUUAGGUUUCUAUUGUGACCAAAAGCAUCUUGUAAAGGAAGAGGUUCAUUUCAGCUUGUGAUCUUCAGGUCCCACCCAUCACUGAGGAAGUCAGGGGAAGGAACCUCAAGGAAUAAGAACUGAAGGUACCCAUGAUGUGCGGAGGGUAGACACUAGAGUGAUGGUGCCUUGCUUGGUAAGCAUGUGAACCAAAGGAGGGGCUGUGAAUUUCACCUGCAAUGGGCAAAGCGUUUUACGUGUGAAACAGCGAUCAAAUCACACUGCUGGAGCCACCCAAUUUCUCGGUCUGCUGAGCAAACAUUUCUGUGCUAAAAUUCUCCAUUAGCACCGGCAGAGGCUUUUUUUAACAAACGUAAAGGUGCUUCACAUGCAUGUAGCCCCGGGAAGCUGGAAGAGGGAACGGGAUCCUCUGGAAUUGGAGUCACAGAUGGUCGUGAGCCACCAUGUGAGUGCUGGGGACCAAAUGAGGAUCCUAUGAGAGCAACGGUGCUCUUAACCACAGAGCCAUUCAUUACGAGCCCCCAGCCCGUCAGCAAGCACAUUAAUACAGUGGGGAACUGGUACUACCGUUUUCUUUUUUUUUUUCGGAGCUGGGGACCGAACCCAGGGCCUUGCGUUUGCUAGGCAAGCGCUCUACCACUGAGCUAAAUCCCCAACCCCCUACUGUUUUCUUAGAGGCAGAGGCCUACCACCCAGCUGAGGCAAGAGGAAGCUGUGACUGACUGUCUACACUGAUUGCUGAGUAGAGGGAACUAGAACAACCGCUCCAUUUAAGGAUCCAGCUUCACGGCCCUGAAGGAGAUUUAGACCACCGAUCAAGCCUCUGCCAUUACAGAGGGACUGCUAUGAAGAUGGACAUUCACAGAGCUCAAGCAGUGUGACGUCCCGAAAUUCUCUUCAAGACGAGUGUUUCCACCCUAUACAGAUCGAUCAGCAACUGUACGCUCUACAGGUUUCCUUGGCUGUCCCAAUCUUACAGGCAACUCUCUACACUUUUAACAGACGGUAAAAAUGCAGAUCUUUGAAAGAUGAACACACAAGCAUCAAGAAUCGUCAUAUAAAUUUAACUCUUCAGCCAGUAAGCUAAGCAAUGUAGUCCUGGUAGGACAGCAUUAUUAGUACAUGAGGUAGCAGAUAAUUCUACUUGAAAGAAAAAAAUCAGGUGCAGGCAUUCAGUAAAAAAGAAACCACAUGGUUACAGAGUUCUACAGAGCAGUGAAAACACAUCGGACCCACACAGUACAAACUACAGCCACUUGUUUUUAAGGGCAGAAAUCUGCAAGAGAAACAGGUAUAAGAAGAGGACUAAGCAUUUCCCAGGCCUUGUCAGCUCCUCUGCCUGUCUGAUAUUAAAACCCAACAUGGGAAAAGGACAUCAACACAUUCUGCUAAGUAGUACUUUAUAUUCUUCUCUAUUCUUUCCUAUACUGGCAAUUUUCAGCCAGCGCCAAUACAGUUUGUUUGGCCUGCCCAGAACUCAGACACCUUCUGACAGCAGCUCACCCAUUUUCUUUAUGGGAAUUGACAGGAUUCUCAGUCCACAAUGGCUAAACAGAGACCAUGUAGCGGCAGGAGCAGGUGUAUUCCCCAGGCCAGCUAAUGAAGGGAGUUUACACAGAGGUAAGAGUGAGGCGUGGAAUUCCCUAGCCGAGGAACAGGUCAACAAAGAAAGAACACGGCUGAGACACGGAGAGAAGCAAGGCCAGCGGCUGACUCUCAUGUGAGCCAAUACACCUUCCCUUCAGCCAGCGCAUUUCUGAACCACUUACUUUCAUACUGCUUUUUAACUGUGUUUCCUAUAUCAGCAAAUUUCCUGUCUUCAAAUAUUAAAAACUCAUGGCGUUUUGCCAGGGUUGUCAACUCCUCCAUCACAUCCAGAGUAAAAUCGUUCAGAAUAUCGACAUGAGUUUUGAGCAUGCAGAUGCUGGGUCCUAGGGCAUCGGCUAGCUGCAGCAGCUCUCUGGCCUCCGACACGUCAGCAGACAGACACAGAUUGGUCUCCUUCUUCUGCAUGAGCGUGAGAAGCUUUGAGGCAAGUGGGUGGACUCCAGGCAGCUCUGCUCGGGCGCCAAAGCUCAGUUCCUUGCAUGCUUUCUUCUCGGGAGGGGGAACGCCAUUAUGGUUAGCUGCUGUGAACACAUUCUCCUGAAUGAACCUCUUCACUCUCCCGACCAUCUCAGCGUCGAUCUUUUUCUGCUGCUCAAGGAUCUCCAGCAUUUCCGACAACGUGCACACAGAGUGGAGACGGAUGCCCUGAGCCUGCAG